GUGACAAUGUUUCUUUGUGCGUUAGCUAUCAGUCUUCACGUGCUUCAUCACACAAUGUGAUAAAGUGGAUUAACGCUUACGUUGUAGGUUAUUAAAUACACCAACUUAGCAGUAAAAGCGGAACACAUACGAAGAGACCUACUAUAAAUGCAAAGUUGCAUUCAACAAUAACAUGAAUAGAAUAAACGAGUGCUCUUGUUACGCUCGUACACCUUUUUUUCAGGGGGCCUAGACAAUCUUCAACUACAAUGCCACAUGAAAUUCCCUGUAGACGCGCAACCGAGGUAAAAGCCGACAGAGCACUAAGUUCGCGAAUAUAUAUGCGAUUAAUAGCAAUCGUUGGCUAGCCAUUGCGGCCGCCGUUGUUUUGCGACAAUGGGAUGCAUCGCAAGGGAUAUGUGCAUCAGUAGAACUAUUGCCUUGCCUUCCGUGACACGUGCACAGAUAUAGAUUGCCUGAUCAUCUAUGUGCAGCGUCAUCUGCUAACAACAAACAGACCAAUAGCGUCUGAACAGUAACGACAUUCGAUGUGCUACGCAAUACUACUUCUAACAACAAAAUAUCUGGGCCGACUUGUUCAACCCAAAACAUAAACGUGAGCAGAUCACCGGGACGAUGUUGUCGUAGGCGCUUACGGAGCAUUUAGGGCGACGUCGACAUUCAGCCUUCUCGUCAAGGUACCGUUAUCGUGCUGUCUCGUAAAGCCUUUGAAGAUCGGCUGAAUUUAUCUACGGCGAUUAUUUCAGUUCCUUUAGUCGCA